CACCUACGGGUGGCUGCAGUGGGGAAUUUUGGACAAUGGGGGCAACCCUGAUCCAGCAAUGCCGCGUGUGUGAAGAAGGCCUUCGGGUUGUAAAGCACUUUUGUCCGGAAAGAAAUCCCCUGCUCUAAUACAGCGGGGGGAUGACGGUACCGGAAGAAUAAGCACCGGCUAACUACGUGCCAGCAGCCGCGGUAAUACGUAGGGUGCGAGCGUUAAUCGGAAUUACUGGGCGUAAAGCGUGCGCAGGCGGUUUUGUAAGACAGGCGUGAAAUCCCCGAGCUCAACUUGGGAAUGGCGCUUGUGACUGCAAGGCUAGAGUAUGUCAGAGGGGGGUAGAAUUCCACGUGUAGCAGUGAAAUGCGUAGAGAUGUGGAGGAAUACCGAUGGCGAAGGCAGCCCCCUGGGACGUCACUGACGCUCAUGCACGAAAGCGUGGGGAGCAAACAGGAUUAGAUACCCUGGUAGUCCACGCCCUAAACGAUGUCAACUAGUUGUUGGGGAUUCAUUUCUUCAGUAACGUAGCUAACGCGUGAAGU
rnacentral:rRNA from 1 species